GAUCCUGGCUCAGGACGAACGCUGGCGGCGUGCCUAACACAUGCAAGUCGAGCGGGGAACGGAUGGUAGCUUGCUACCGUUUGUUUCUAGCGGCGGACGGGUGAGUAACGCGUGAGCAACCUGCCUUUAUCAGGGGGAUAACGCAUCGAAAGAUGUGCUAAUACCGCGUAAGACCACAGCUUCACAUGGAGCGGGGGUCAAAGGAGCAAUCCGGAUAAAGAUGGGCUCGCGUCCGAUUAGCUAGUUGGUGAGAUAACAGCCCACCAAGGCGACGAUCGGUAGCCGACCUGAGAGGGUGAUCGGCCACAUUGGAACUGAGACACGGUCCAGACUCCUACGGGAGGCAGCAGUGGGGAAUAUUGGGCAAUGGGCGAAAGCCUGACCCAGCAACGCCGCGUGAGGGAAGAAGGGUUUCGGCUCGUAAACCUCUGUCCUAUGGGACGAAGGAAGUGACGGUACCAUAGGAGGAAGCCCCGGCUAACUACGUGCCAGCAGCCGCGGUAAUACGUAGGGGGCGAGCGUUGUCCGGAAUGAUUGGGCGUAAAGGGCGCGUAGGCGGCCUGCUAAGUCUGGAGUGAAAGUCCUGCUUUCAAGGUGGGAAUUGCUUUGGAUACUGGUGGGCUGGAGUGCAGGAGAGGAAAGCGGAAUUACCGGUGUAGCGGUGAAAUGCGUAGAGAUCGGUAGGAACACCAGUGGCGAAGGCGGCUUUCUGGACUGAAACUGACGCUGAGGCGCGAAAGCGUGGGGAGCAAACAGGAUUAGAUACCCUGGUAGUCCACGCU
rnacentral:rRNA from 1 species